CUACGGGUUGCACCAGUGGGGAAUAUUGCACAAUGGGCGCAAGCCUGAUGCAGCCAUGCCGCGUGUAUGAAGAAGGCCUUCGGGUUGUAAAGUACUUUCAGCGGGGAGGAAGGGAGUAAAGUUAAUACCUUUGCUCAUUGACGUUACCCGCAGAAGAAGCACCGGCUAACUCCGUGCCAGCAGCCGCGGUAAUACGGAGGGUGCAGGCGUUAAUCGGAAUUACUGGGCGUAAAGCGCACGCAGGCGGUUUGUUAAGUCAGAUGUGAAAUCCCCGGGCUCAACCUGGGAACUGCAUCUGAUACUGGCAAGCUUGAGUCUCGUUGAGGGGGGUAGAAUUCCAGGUGUAGCGGUGAAAUGCGUAGAGAUCUGGAGGAAUACCGGUGGCGAAGGCGGCCCCCUGGACGAAGACUGACGCUCAGGUGCGAAAGCGUGGGGAGCAAACAGGAUUAGAUACCCCUGUAGUC
rnacentral:rRNA from 1 species